AGGCCAGUAGCUCAACAUUGGUAGAGCACGGACUCCAAAUUCGAAGGUUGAGUUUCGAAUCCCCCUGGCCUGCCU
rnacentral:tRNA from 1 species